UUGCCCUAGUAACGGCGAGUGAAGCGGCAACAGCUCAAAUUUGAAAUCUGGCCCUCGGGUCCGAAUUGUAAUUUGUAGAGGAUGCUUUUGGUUAGGUGCCUUCCGAGUUCCCUGGAACGGGACGCCUUAGAGGGUGAGAGCCCCGUACGGUUGGACGCCGAGCCUCUGUAAAGCUCCUUCGACGAGUCGAGUAGUUUGGGAAUGCUGCUCUAAAUGGGAGGUAAAUUUCUUCUAAAGCUAAAUAUUGGCCAGAGACCGAUAGCGCACAAGUAGAGUGAUCGAAAGAUGAAAAGUACUUUGAAAAGAGGGUUAAACAGCACGUGAAAUUGUUGAAAGGGAAGCGUUUAUGACCAGACUUUUUCUAGGCGGAUCAUCCGGUGUUCUCACCGGUGCACUCUGUCUAGUUUAGGCCAGCAUCGGUUUCUAUAGGGGGAUAAAAUCAGCAGGAAUGUGGCUCCCCCGGGAGUGUUAUAGCCUGUUGAAUAAUACCCUUACGGGGACCGAGGUUCGCGCUCUGCAAGGAUGCUGGCGUAAUGGUCAUCAACGACCCGUCUUGAAACACGGACCAAGGAGUCGAACAUUUGUGCGAGUGUUUGGGUGUUAAACCCUCACGCGUAAUGAAAGUGAACGGAGGUGAGAGCCUUUAGGGGUGCAUCAUCGACCGAUCCUGAAGUUUACGGAUGGAUUUGAGUAAGAGCAUAACUGUUCGGACCCGAAAGAUGGUGAACUAUGCGUGGAUAGGGUGAAGCCAGAGGAAACUCUGGUGGAGGCUCGCAGCGGUUCUGACGUGCAAAUCGAUCGUCAAAUCUGCGCAUGGGGGCGAAAGAC
rnacentral:rRNA from 1 species